ensembl:miRNA gga-mir-6589 gga-mir-6589
CCCGAGAAAUGUUUUGUGAAGCUUCUGUUGAUGGAGAUGGUGUGAAGCAGAAGUGUGUUUUUACUGCUUCUGCUAUCUUCAUCUUCACAUGCUCUCUGACAAAGGACUGU